rnacentral:rRNA from 1 species
GAUGAACGCUGGCGGCGUGCCUAAUACAUGCAAGUCGAGCGAACAGACGAGGAGCUUGCCCCUCUGACGUUAGCGGCGGACGGGUGAAUAACACGUGGAUAACCUACCUAUAAGACUGGGAUAACUUCGGGAAACCGGAGCUAAUACCGGAUAAUAUAUUGAACCGCAUGGUUCAAUAGUGAAAGACGGUUUUGCUGUCACUUAUAGAUGGAUCCGCGCCGCAUUAGCUAGUUGGUAAGGUAACGGCUUACCAAGGCAACGAUGCGUAGCCGACCUGAGAGGGUGAUCGGCCACACUGGAACUGAGACACGGUCCAGACUCCUACGGGAGGCAGCAGUAGGGAAUCUUCCGCAAUGGGCGAAAGCUUGACGGAGCAACGCCGCGUGAGUGAUGAAGGUCUUCGGAUCGUAAAACUCUGUUAUUAGGGAAGAACAAAUGUGUAAGUAACUAUGCACGUCUUGACGGUACCUAAUCAGAAAGCCACGGCUAACUACGUG